rnacentral:lncRNA from 1 species
UAAAGGCCCAAAAUACUACCUCAACUCUAUAUAUAUAGAGAAAGAGUUGAGCUGAAAAGCUAUCAAUACUAAACAGGUUUCGUUGUGACUCAUUUGUUUUGGAUGAUGUAGUCUCCAAAUCAAUGAUCGGUACCUUUGAACAUAAUCUAUACCAUUUGUAAUGUUUGGAAACCAAAUUUCAAAUCUUUUUGACAUCAUUGGCCUAAUGAUCAAAAGGUUUUAAAAUUUAUUUUUUAAUGGUCAAUAUGAAAUGUUUUCUCAUUUAACAGCGUAAAGAUAUUCAAAUCAAUUGAAUUUUAGUUAGAAAAUUUUUUAAACGCUUUAAAAUAAGAUUUAUACUCUUGUGAAGUAUCUAGAAAAUAAAUGAGUGGCAACGAAGCUCGUUUGUUACUAAUAGCAUUCCAGCUAUAUUCUAUAUUUAUAUAUGUAUUGAUUGAAAUGUAGUAAGCUAUUGGUUUCAUUAAUUUUAAAUGUCUUUUUAGGGGCUUUUGCUUAUAUAUCCCUCACAGCUAUUCAAAACUUUUAAAUUUAUCCCUCUAUUUUCAAAAUACCCUUCUAAAUUUCAAAUCUUAUUAGUAAAUCCUAGGGUUAGGGAGAUAAUUUGAAGAAAUUUUUAAGAAUUAAUAAGAACAUUUUAAUCAAUUAGAAAUGUAUAAUAUAUUGUUUAUAUUUUGAAAAGUACAUUAGAUAUUAUUUAUUUUUAAAAACAAACUCAGAUAGAAAUGUAACAAAAUUAAACAUCAAACUUGAGGCUCCAAAAUCAAUCAUCAAACUCUUAACCAACUAUACGCCGGUUACUUUUAUUAUAUCUAUUUUUUGUCUUUCACCAAUUUUCUUCUUUUAAUGAAAUAAUUUU